AGCGAACGCUGGCGGCAGGCCUAACACAUGCAAGUCGAACGAACCUUUCGGGGUUAGUGGCGGACGGGUGAGUAACACGUGGGAACGUGCCUUUAGGUUCGGAAUAACUCAGGGAAACUUGUGCUAAUACCGAAUGUGCCCUUCGGGGGAAAGAUUUAUCGCCUUUAGAGCGGCCCGCGUCUGAUUAGCUAGUUGGUUGAGGUAAUGGCUCACCAAGGCGACGAUCAGUAGCUGGUCUGAGAGGAUGAUCAGCCACAAUGGGACUGAGACACGGCCCAAACUCCUACGGGAGGCAGCAGUGGGGAAUCUUGCGCAAUGGGCGAAAGCCUGACGCAGCCAUGCCGCGUGAAUGAUGAAGGUCUUAGGAUUGUAAAAUUCUUUCACCGGGGACGAUAAUGACGGUACCCGGAGAAGAAGCCCCGGCUAACUUCGUG
rnacentral:rRNA from 1 species